rnacentral:rRNA from 1 species
CCCAGACUCCUACGGGAGGCAGCAGUGGGGAAUAUUGCACAAUGGGGGGAACCCUGAUGCAGCGACGCCGCGUGAGCGAAGAAGUAUCUCGGUACGUAAAGCUCUAUCAGCAGGGAAGAAAAUGACGGUACCUGACUAAGAAGCCCCGGCUAACUACGUGCCAGCAGCCGCGGUAAUACGUAGGGGGCAAGCGUUAUCCGGAUUUACUGGGUGUAAAGGGAGCGUAGACGGCAGUGCAAGUCUGGAGUGAAAGGCGGGGGCUCAACCCCCGGACUGCUCUGGAAACUGUACGGCUGGAGUGCAGGAGGGGCAGGCGGAAUUCCUGGUGUAGCGGUGAAAUGCGUAGAUAUCAGGAGGAACACCGGCGGCGAAGGCGGCCUGCUGGACCGCGACUGACGUUGAGGCUCGAAAGCGUGGGGAGCGAACAGGAUUAGAUACCCUAGUACAC